UCAGAUUAUAUAAUUUGGUACAUAAAGAACAUCUCACUCAUUGCCUAUCUUGUGUGUGAUGAAACACACACAAAUUUUGAUGGGUACUAAAAAUAUGGUUAAUUCCGUGCUUGAAUUUUGAUUCAAAUCUUAUCAAAUUAUGCAUUGAUUAACACGUAGCACAGAGAACUGUCGAUCUUAUCUUCAGCCUCAAUAUUCCAAUUAUUGGAUUGCUUUACCAAACAAUUAAUAUAUACAUUUGAAUGCCGAUUCCUUUUCAUUCCCAGCUAUAAUACAAAACAUAUUCCAAAGAAAAUCAUCCUGUAGUCUGGUUGUGGUUUUCCUUGCCAUGCAUCAGAAUCAAUUUUCUUUUAUUUUCUCCAACUCACAUUACCCCCCAAAUUAUGUAUAGUUUGCUGAGCUUCAGUUCAUCCAUAUUCAAAUAAGUUCCACUUUGUAAUGAAAUAUAAAGGCAAUAUCUUAGCUUAUUUCAACCUUAACUGUUUGUUUUAAA